rnacentral:tRNA from 1 species
AAGGCUUUAGCUUAAUAAAAGCGCUUGAGUUGCAUUCAGGAAAUAUGGGGUAGAUACUCAUAAGUCUU